CCUACGGGGGGCAGCAGUGGGGAAUAUUGGACAAUGGGGGGAACCCUGAUCCAGCGACGCCGCGUGAGUGAAGAAGUAUUUCGGUAUGUAAAGCUCUAUCAGCAGGGAAGAAAGAAAUGACGGUACCUGACUAAGAAGCCCCGGCUAACAACGUGCCAGCAGCCGCGGUAAUACGUAGGGGGCAAGCGUUAUCCGGAUUUACUGGGUGUAAAGGGAGCGUAGACGGCGAUGCAAGUCUGAAGUGAAAGGCGGGGGCUUAACCCCGGAACUGCUUUGGAAACUGUGCGGCUGGAGUGCAGGAGGGGUAAGCGGAAUUCCUAGUGUAGCGGUGAAAUGCGUAGAUAUUAGGAGGAACACCGGUGGCGAAGGCGGCUUACUGGACUGUAACUGACGUUGAGGCUCGAAAGCGUGGGGAGCAAACAGGAUUAGAUACCCCUGUAGUC
rnacentral:rRNA from 1 species